UUUUCUUUUUUUUUUUUCUUUUUCUUUCCUGAGACAGGGUUUCUCUGUGUAGCCCUGGCUGUCCUGGAACUCACUUUUGUAGACCAGGCUGGCCUCGAAUUCAGAAAUCCGCCUGCCUCCGCCUCCCGAGUGCUGGGAUUAAAGGCGUGCGCCACCAUGCCCGGCGCGGCGGGAGGGGGUGGGGGGUGGGCUCUCAUCUUUUAUUACUCUUAUUUUUGAUCCAUUAGUAAGUUAGGAUAGUCCACUCAUAUAAAGCCCUUGGGUAGAGAAUGGCUGUGUUUAAAUAUCAGGAACGAAUACUGAAAGGGAAUUGCAAAGUGCUUCUGAGGUUUCUCAUUUCUUUCAGACAUUUUCCUAAUAAUAUGUGUCUUCCAUGUCUUUUGACAUUUCCAGUUUACUUGAAUUAAUAUUAUGUUCUUAAAUAUAAAUAAAGUCUUGAGGAUUCUGUUAUUUUCCCUUAUUAGAGUUGGAGGUCUCCAUGGCAGCAAAGAACAGUAAAUAGUAGGACAGUCUUGUUUUGUUUUGCUGAGAUAGGUUUUUACAUAUCCCUGGCUGGCUGUAAAGUCACUGAGGUCCUCUUUCUGCCUCCUGAGAUACGAUAGAAGCCAUGUGCCACCAAGACUUGCCUUUGUGAGAGCUUUAAAUGAUGUUUUGAUAGCUUAAGAGUUAUUUGAAACCACUGACUUCUCUGAUUCUUCCACUCUAUUACAGUUUCUUGAUAGUUUUCUCCUCUUUUUGCUAAGCGAAUGGUAAUAGUGCUGAGAGUAUUAGAGUAUAGAAUAGAAUAGAAUAAUUGUUGGAAUGUAAGUUAAAUUGUAUUUGUAAGUUACCUUAUAAUUAGCAGAUUGCUUUCUUGGGCAAUGUGUUUUGAUGCUUGAAAUCACUUGAUAGAAUAUGUAAUAUUGCUAUUUAUAAGGAAAAAGUGGUGAGUCAUUUUCUUAUGCAUGUAGUAAUUGGAAGUUGAUUCAUACUGUUGCUUAUAAAUUUACACUCUUCAUUAUCUAUAGCAACACCAAAAAGAUGGUUAGAGAUUACCUGAAAAGUUAGUUUUGUCGUAGUUUCUAGUAUGUUUGCCAGAUUGUUCUGCUGUCACCUCUAAUUAUCCCUGUUUUCAUGGUUUCAAAAAUAUAACAUUGGCAUCAUUUUCUAUUUUCUUCUAUUCUGACUCCUGUGUCUUACUCUGGACAUUUUUUUGGUACAUAAAAUAUGUGGCCUUUUAUGCCUGCCCUUUCUUCACUUAGUCUAUAGGUAUGUCUAUUAUAACUUAAUUACUUCUAUGGCUGCAUACUAUUUCAUUGCAUAGAAUUCUCUUUCUUUUUUCUUCUUUUGAAGAUAGGGACUUGAAGUAUAGUCUGGUUUAGAAUCCACUGUGUAGCUCAGGCUGGCUCAGAUUAAUUUUGUACUUCACUCUCACUUGGUAGGAUUGCAGGCAUGUACCCCAAGCCUGUCUCUGACUUUGUGUCUAUGGUAAUAGUGCUGAGAGUGUUAGACCACACUAUGUGUGUGUUCAUGUAUUAGUUGAUGGCUAUUUCAAUUUCUACUUUUUGCCUGUAAGGAAAUAAUAGUAAUAUGAGCUUCUCUCUCCGUUAACUUGCUACCCUUUAAAGCACCUCCUCAUGUUGUGCUGACCCCCAACCAUAACUGAAAUUUUGCUAGUUAUGAAUCUUAAUUUAAAUACCUGAUAUCCAGAAUAUCUGAUAGGCAACCAUUAUGAAAUGUCAUUUAACCCCCAAAGGGCUCACGGCCCACAGUUUGAGAACCACUGGUCUAUAACCAAUUUUUUUGUGUAAGUUAUUUCUCUAAGAUAAAGGUAAAAAUAUACCUGAAUAGGACAAAACAAAUGAACAGGGAAACAAACUAAACAAAACAAGAACCAAGGAAUAACCACAAAUACAUACAGAUGGAGAGGCACACAUAGUCACACCUUUUUUUGUUUUUUUUUUUUUAAAAACUCAGAGAAAACAUGAUAUC
rnacentral:lncRNA from 1 species